GACGAACGCUGGCGGCGUGCCUAAUACAUGCAAGCAGAACGCAGUUGCGAACGGGUGAGUAACGCGUAGGUAACUGCCUCAUAGCGGGGGAAAAAUAUUGGAAACGAUAGCUAAUACCGCAUACUGUGAGAUGGACCUGCGUUGUAUUAGUUAGUUGGUGAGGUAAAGGGUCACCAAGGCGACGAUACAUAGCCGACCUGAUAUGGAGAUCGGCCACACUGGGACUGGGAAACGGCCCAGGAUCCUACGGGAGGCAGCAGUAGGGAAACUUCGGAAAUGGACGGAAGUCUGACCGAGCAACGCCGCGUGAUUGAAGAAGGUUUUCGGAUCGUAAAGCUCUGUUUAUAGAGAAGCGUUAACUAACCAGAAAGGGACGGCUAACUACGUGCCAGCAGCCGCGGUAAUAC
rnacentral:rRNA from 1 species